rnacentral:rRNA from 1 species
GCUUUCAAUCUUGUUUGGCUUGUUCAGGCUUGUUUGAGACUGGAAACUAAGCUGGGUUAGGGCUGGUUAGUAUUUGAAAGUGAGAACAGCUGGGAACGCCAGGUGCUGUAGGCC